rnacentral:rRNA from 1 species
AUUGAACGCUGGCGGCAGGCCUAACACAUGCAAGUCGAGCGAGCGGCGGACGGGUGAGUAAUGUAUGGGGACUGCCCGAUAGAGGGGGAUAACUACUCGAAACGGUGGCUAAUACCGCAUACUAUUGGAUAACCCAUAUGGGAUUCGCUAGUAGGUGGGGUAAAGGCUCACCUAGGCGACGAUCUCUAGCUGGGCUGAGAGGAUGAUCAGCCACACUGGGACUGAGACAGGGCCCAGACUCAUACGGAGGCAGCAGUGGGGAAUAUUGCACAAUGGGCGCAAGCCUGAUGCAGACAUGCCGCGUGUAUGAAGAAGGCCUUAGGGUUGUAAAGUACUUUCAGCGGGGAGGCGUUACCCGCAGAAGAAGCACCGGCUAACUACGUGCCAGCCGCCGCGGUAAUUC